UUCGGUGGCGAUGGCGGAGAGGAAACACCCGUUCCCAUCCCGAACACGGAAGUUAAGCUCUCCAGCGCCGAUGGUACUGCGGGGCUACCCCCGUGGGAGAGUAGGUCGCCGCCGAAU
rnacentral:rRNA from 1 species